rnacentral:tRNA from 1 species
GGAUUGUGGCUCAGUGGUAGAGCGCUCGCCUAGCACCUGCGAGGCCCUGGAUUCGAUCCUCAGCACCA